rnacentral:tRNA from 1 species
CAAGAUAGAGCUUGGCAUAAGCGUUUUACUUACACUAAAAAGUUAAUUGUGAAACUCGAUUUUUCUUGA